UUUAAAUUCUUUUACAGAUUCAGUUAGAGUAAGCCAGUCAUCGAAUCAACCUAAAGAUACAGCCUCAGAUAAUUCUGGUAAUAACCGUAUACAUUUGAGUGAUCUACAAAAUUUUUUAUCUGAAAUACCGGUUUCAAAUGAUAGUGGAUCAACUCAACAGAACAAUCUUGCCUAUGAGUUGAGUGCUGCUAUCUCUGCAAAUGUAUCUGUAAACAAUAAUUUGGAAAGUUCCCUGAAGGAGUUUCUACCUGAAAAUGAUACUUUAUUAACAAUUAUAUCUACACCCCAAUUCACUGAAGCGUUAUCUACGUUUUGGAAUGCUCUUAUAUCUGGACAAAUAGCUCCUAUUAUACAACAGUUUGGGUUCAGUAAAGAAGUAACAAAAGCAGCUGCAAAAGGAAAUAUCAAGAAUUUUCUAGUUGCUCUCGAAGCGGAGGCCAAACAAUCUCUUCAUUCUCAUGAUGAUCAUCAAACAAACUUAGAUACCGUUUCAACCCAUGAUGGAAACAAACAACUUCAAAAUAAAAAUUCAGGAGAUGAUAAAAAAGAUGGAGAUGACGAAAAUAUGGCAUUAGAUUGAAUAAUGUUUUCGUAUAAAUCUAAAAGCAGUUUGAGUUGCAAAAUUAUUGAUUAAUAAAAAAUGAAUUUCUAGCUAUUGUUUUUUAA